rnacentral:rRNA from 1 species
GAACUGAAGAGUUUGAUCAUGGCUCAGAUUGAACGCUGGCGGCAGGCCUAACACAUGCAAGUCGAGCGGAUGAAGGGAGCUUGCUCCUGGAUUUAGCGGCGGACGGGUGAGUAAUGCCUAGGAAUCUGCCUGGUAGUGGGGGAUAACGUCCGGAAACGGGCGCUAAUACCGCAUACGUCCUGAGGGAGAAAGUGGGGGAUCUUCGGACCUCACGCUAUCAG